rnacentral:rRNA from 1 species
GAUGAACGCUGGCGGCGUGCCUAAUACAUGCAAGUCGAGCGAACAGAUAAGGAGCUUGCUCCUUUGACGUUAGCGGCGGACGGGUGAGUAACACGUGGGUAACCUACCUAUAAGACUGGAAUAACUCCGGGAAACCGGGGCUAAUGCCGGAUAACAUUUAGAACCGCAUGGUUCUAAAGUGAAAGAUGGUUUUGCUAUCACUUAUAGAUGGACCCGCGCCGUAUUAGCUAGUUGGUAAGGUAACGGCCUACCAAGGCAACGAUACGUAGCCGACCUGAGAGGGUGAUCGGCCACACUGGAACUGAGACACGGUCCAGACUCCUACGGGAGGCAGCAGUAGGGAAUCUUCCGCAAUGGGCGAAAGCCUGACGGAGCAACGCCGCGUGAGUGAUGAAGGUCUUCGGAUCGUAAAACUCUGUUAUUAGGGAAGAACAAAUGUGUAAGUAGCUGUGCACGUCUUGACGGUACCUAAUCAGAAAGCCACGGCUAACUACGUG